UGAGGAGUACGAAAAACUCUAGGAGCCCUAAUCCUACAAUCCUGAUACUAGACCUCCAGACUUUCCUAUCAAGGGCCAUGUCCUCGGAAACCCGCAUUCUAGCCAUGUCAUGCCUAAUCACCUCUCCCCAAUACCUCUUAGACCUCCCUCUGCCUCUUAGGCAUCAGGACUUCUCCUCUGCACAUGCCCGAACCACCUCAGCCUCAUUUCUCGCAUCUUCUCAUCCACCGGGGCCA
rnacentral:lncRNA from 1 species